rnacentral:rRNA from 1 species
AACGAACGCCGGCGGCAGGCCUAACACAUGCAAGUCGAGCGCCCCGCAAGGGGAGCGGCGGACGGGUUAGUAACGCGUGGGAAUGUACCCUUUUCUACGGAAUAGCCUCGGGAAACUGAGAUUAAUACCGUAUACGCCCGGUAACGGGGAAAGAUUUAUCGGAGAAGGAUCAGCCCGCGUAAGAUUAGAUAGUUGGUGGGGUAAUGGCCUACCAAGUCUACGAUCUUUAGCUGGUUUGAGAGGAUGAUCAGCAACACUGGGACUGAGACACGGCCCAGACUCCUACGGGAGGCAGCAGUGGGGAAUCUUAGACAAUGGGCGCAAGCCUGAUCUAGCCAUGCCGCGUGAGUGAAGAAGGCCUUAGGGUCGUAAAGCUCUUUCAGUGGGGAAGAUAAUGACGGUACCCACAGAAGAAACCCCGGCUAACUCCGUGCCAGCAGCCGCGGU